rnacentral:rRNA from 1 species
UACGCUGGCGGCACGCAUAACACAUGCAAGUCGAACGAAGUAGCAAUACUUAGUGGCAGACGGGUGAGUAACAUGUGGGUAUCUACCCUUUGGCCUGGAAUAACACGAGGAAACUUGUGCUAAUACCGGAUAAGUCUUUACGGAGAAAGCUUUAUGCACCAUUGGAUGAGCCCGCACUUGAUUAGUUUGUUGGUAGGG